rnacentral:rRNA from 1 species
UUACCACUUUGUGAUUGAUGACUGGGGUGAAGUCGUAACAAGGUAACCGUAGGGGAACCUGCGGUUGGAUCACCUCCUUA